rnacentral:lncRNA from 1 species
AAUUUAACCAAACUUGGCCACAAUCAUCAUUGGGGUAUCUAGUUUAAAAAAUGUGUCUGGUGACCCGGCCAACCAACCAAGAUGGCCGCCAUGGCUAAAAAUAGAACAUAGGGGUAAAAUGCAGUUUUUGGCUUAUAACUCAAAAACCAAAGCAUUUAGAGCACAUCUGACGGGUUAAAAUUGUUCAUCAGGUGAAGAUCUAUCUGCCCUGAAAUUUUCAGAUGAAUCGGACAUUUCGUUGUUGGGUUGCUGCCCCUGAAAUGGUAAUUUUAAGGAAAUUUUGCUGUUUUUGGUUAUUAUCUUGAAUAUUAUUAUAGAUAGAGAUAAACUGUAAACAGCAAUAAUGUUCAGCAAAGUAAGAUCUACAAAUAAGUCAACAUGACCAAAAUGGUCAGUUGACCACUUUAGGAGUUAUUGCCCUUUAUAGUCAAUUUUUAACCAUUUUUCGUAAAUCUUAGUAAUCUUUUAGAAAAAUCUUCUCCUCUGAAACUACCGGGCCAAAUUUAACCAAACCUGGCCACAAUCAUUAUUGGGGUAUCUAGUUUAAAAAAUGUGUGGCGUGACCCGGCCAACCAACCAAGAUGGCCUCCAUGGCUAAAAAUAGAACAUAGGGGUGAAAUGUAGAUUAUGGCUAAUAUCUCUGAAACCAAAGCUUUUAGAGCAAAUCUAACAUGGGGGUAAAAUUGUUUAUCAGGUCAAGAUCUAUCUGCCCUGAAAUUUUCAGACAAAUUGGACAACCAGUUGUUGGGU